UACGGUCAUAUCAUGUAGAAACAUUAGUUCCCAUAGGAUCACUGAAGUUAAGCAACAUCAAGCCUGGUUAGUACUUAGAUCAGUGAUGCUUGGGAAUACCAGGUGCUCCAG